UGGGCGGUAUCGAAAGAACUGCACCUUGUUGAUUUAUUUUAUAAAAAAAUAGUUCUGCCUGGAUCCGGUAGCGGACUGGGACAGAGGG
rfam:Bacillus selenatarsenatis SF-1 DNA, contig: BSSF00016.